AUUGAACGCUGGCGGCAUGCCUUACGCAUGCAAGUCGAACGGCAGCACGGGGCAACCUGGUGGCGAGUGGCGAACGGGUGAGUAAUGCAUCGGAACGUACCUUUCAGUGGGGGAUAACGUAGCGAAAGUUACGCUAAUACCGCAUAUUCUGUGAGCAGGAAAGCAGGGGAUCGCAAGACCUUGCGCUGAUUGAGCGGCCGAUGUCAGAUUAGCUAGUUGGUGAGGUAAAGGCUCUCCAAGGCGACGAUCUGUAGCGGGUCUGAGAGGAUGAUCCGCCAACCUGGAACUGAGACACGGUCCAGACUCCUACGGGAGGCAGCAGUGGGGAAUUUUGGACAAUGGGGGCAACCCUGAUCCAGCCAUGCCGCGUGAGUGAAGAAGGCCUUCGGGUUGUAAAGCUCUUUCGGCCGGGAAGAAAUCGCACGGGCUAAUACCCUGUGUGGAUGACGGUACCGGAAUAAGAAGCACCGGCUAACUACGUGCCAGCCGCCGCAGUAAUAC
rnacentral:rRNA from 1 species